ACAAAUUUGUGAAUUGUAUGUGACUGUCUGAUGCCGGGGAGCAGCAAGGAGCUUUUGGUGAUUGGAGUGCGAAUAUCACUUAGGAAGACUAGACAGCACUUCAGCACUACACUUCGAGGGCAUUUUAAACAGUGAAAUCAUCAACAAAAAGCACAAAAAUGCAUAAGUGUGGCACCAAAUAGACUGCAAGAAGGACACUUGUUUACGGUUUGAGAGCUGAAACCAGGAGACAGAGUGUUAUCUUAUUUGACUCAAAUUUUUCACCACUCUGAGCAGGUCCGUGAAUGGCCACAAAACUGCUGCGAGAUUUCAUUUUGGGGCUACAAAGGAAUUUUUGCAAGUAGAUGAAUUGGCAAACAUGGAGUCUGUGAAUGAUGAGGAUGGACUGUGUAUGUUGCAUUUGUGGAGAGGACAACUUCAUUGCAGAGGAUGUGUAAAGGGAGCACAGUGCCUAAAGUCUUCAUUAAGGUGUAGGGGACUGAUGUAUCCCCUCCCGAGGGCCCACUGUGCUCAAGAGAAGCAGAGAAUACGCCGGGAGCGGUGGCUCACGCCUGUAAUCCCAGCACUUUGGGAGGCUGAGGCAGGUGGAUCACGAGGUCAGGAGAUUAAGACCAUUCUGGCCAACAUGGUGAAACCCCAUCUCUACUAAAAAUACAAAAAUUAGCUGGGCAUGGUGGCCUGCGUCUGUAGUCCCAGCUACUCAGGAGGCUGAGGCAGGAGAAUCGCUUGAACCUGGGAGGCAGAGGUUGCAGUGAGCCGAGAUCACACCACUGCACUCCAGCCUGGGUGACAGAGCAAAGCUCUUAUCUCAAAAAAAAAAAAAAAAAAAAAGAGAGAGAGAAGCAGAGAAUAAAGGAGGCCAGUGGCCAUCAAAAGGGAGUGGCAGGUAGGUGAGAGAGGACAUAGGGAGGGAGGUGGGAUUGAGAGGGAGGGCAGUGGGUGUUGGGGGGGAGGGUCCCUCACGGUUUAGCUGGGUCCCAGAACUCCCUCCCCCUGAACACCUCGUGGGUGGGUGCCUCUUCUCUGCUCACUUUUGGCUGGACUUCUGCUGAUCUGUGAAACACAGAGAGACUCUCCUCUCUGGCUGUCUCCCAGUUGCGGGGAACCUUUUGAUUUCUUAACUAUUCCCCUGGGAUCCAUUCCUCUAUUUGCUCAUUUUCUAAUACUCCCUCUUCAUCACCGUGUUACUGGGCCACUGACUCCCACUCCAAAGGCCGACCAGGCCCGGAAAGCUCAUAAAGUGAGUCAGCCUAAGAGAAGGGAUCCGAGUCCAGGUCACUUGGAGCUGAUGACGGCAGCGAACCUGGCUAAGCCAGCGUGUGCAAGAUGCUGGCGCUGCUGGAAACAUCGCCUGGAGGAGCGGCCCUCUCAUCACCCGGAACAGACAGGGGUGUCUGCAGAGGUUUCCCAACCUGUCAUCAUUACUCUAGGGUCUUCUUAGAAGGACAACAAACCCUGUACCUGCAUGGCGGAGUGUUAGGAUAUCUGGUACCAUGUCACUCCCCUGAGCUCAGCCAGACUGCCUGAGGGUUGUGCCCCACUCCACCAUUUACUGCUUGUGCCUCAGUUUCCUGAUCUGUAAAAUGGAAGUUCUAAUAGUAUCCACCUCAUAGGGUUGUUAUGAGGACUGCACUACAUAUAUACAUAUAGCACUGAGAACAGUGCCUGCACAGAGUAAGCUCUACAGAACACUGGCUUUUAUUAUUGUGAUUAUUAUUGCUCGUAUUAUUACUACUCUUCUCAUCUCUAAAGAAUGGAAUGGGGCUGAACGAUUUCAAAGGCCUUUCUUUCCCUUCCUGUUCUGUUACUGGAGAUGCUCCCUUGCUGUGUGGCCUUGGGCAAGGCCCUUGUCCUCUCUGGGCCGCAAGUUCUUAUCUUCUAAGUGAGGUGCUGGGAGUCAAGCCCUGAGAGCCUGAAUCUAUGAAAUAAGGAUAAGAUGACUCCUAGAGUGGGGUUCAUUUGUGACUGCAGCCUCUCCUGGGGAUGCUGAAUUUCCUUAUUUUAAGAAUUUACUCAGAAUUUAAUCCAAUUCCUCUCCCCUUUUUGUCUAUUGUAACUGCUUAUUUCAUCUCAGCUGAGAUAAAUGGUUAAGUAAUCAACAUAACAGGGUAUAUUUGUAGUGUGUUUUUAAAGCUCCCAUUCACUGAACCAACCACCUUCCUAAGCCUGGAUUAAUUUAUUCUAUCAUCAUUACAACCCUGGGAGGGAGAUUAUUGUCCCUGUGUUAGAGAUGAGGAAAUUGAAGCACAGAGAAAAGUUAAGCAACUUGCCCAAGGACACACAAACAGUAAAUAGUAAAUCCAGAUUUAAACCAGGAACCUUGACUCCAGAUUCUGUAAGCUUUACCCUGACACUAUACCAGCGGUUGGCCUUGAGCUUAAUUUCUAAUUCUACGAUGGAAACGCUGAGGUGGGAGGCAGGUCUUUACUCCAGACCAGACUGAUGACUGGCUGAACCAGGGAAGAGGCAAAAGCACCUCUCCAUAAGACAUGCUCACCAGUACAUGCCAGUUUACCCUUGCCAGUAACUCAGAAGUUACUGCCUCUUUCCAUGGCAUUGACAGAUCCACCCCUUUUCUAGAAAUUUCUGAAUAGCCCGCCUCUUAAUUUGCAUGUAAUUAAAAUGGGUAUAAAUAUGACUGAAACACUGCCCCGAGCUCCUAUUCUCAACACACUGCCUGUGGGGUAGCCCUGCUCUGCAGGAGGAGUCACGGAGCUGUAACACUGCUGACUCAAUAAAGC
rnacentral:lncRNA from 1 species